rnacentral:rRNA from 1 species
AUUGAACGCUGGCGGCCGGCCUAACACCUGCAAGUCGAGCGCGCGGCGGACGGGUGAGUAAUGUAGGGGGACUGCCCGAUAGAGGGGUGUAACUACUGGAAACGGUCGCUAAUACAGCAUACUGACGGCGCAACCAACUGGGAUUAGCUAGUAGGUAAGGUAAUGGCUUACCUAGGCGACGAUCCCUAGCUGGGCUGAGAGGAUGAUCCGCCACACUGGGACGGAGACACGGCCCAGACUCCUACGGAGGCAGCAGUGGGGAAUAUUGCACAAUGGGCGCAAGCCUGAUGCAGCCAUGUCGCGUGUAUGAAGAAGGCCCUAGGGUUGUAAAGUACUUUCAGUCGGGAGGCGUUACCGACAGAAGAAGCACCGGCUAACUCCGUGCCAGCCGCCGCGGUAAUUC